UCUUAAGCACUAUUCAUCAUCAUUUUUUAUUUUGAUUCAGGUUGACUAUUUUCUAUCUUCGGUUCUGAAAUAUGUAAAUAUGUUAAUGGACAUAUUUACCCAUAUAUACCUUAUACAUGGAUAUUUAAAGUUAGUCAUUUCAUAUGUUCACGUUCUCAAAGCGUGAUCACGGCUUAUCUUUCCUUAGUAUGUACCAUAAGGCGCCAGACAGGCAUUCAAAACCGGGGCCAACACAGCUACAGACUACAGGCAAGUGACGCGAGAAGACCAGUGAUUUUAGAAUGGAAUUCCACUGAAGUAGCAUUUGUCGAUCCUUCUAUCUUCAAUACCAGUUUAAACAGAAUUCAAUGAUAAAGAUAGAUAAAAUUUUUCUCAGUACGGAGCAAGAAAAAGAAAAUGAUUAAAAAAUAAAACCCAUUACAUUUAAAAAUGAAGAAUGUAGGGUCAAUUGGCUCAAUUGCCAACUCAAUGAAACUUAUUUGAAUUAAAAAAGUCCAAAUUCAACGCAAUGUCUGAGCUGAUUCCGGCAGAUGUAAAUCUUCUUAACUUUCAAAUUCUAGGAAUGAGUAAAAUACUUUUAAACAUUAUUAUUUUAACUAUUUAAUGUUAAUUUUAAAAACUUUCACAUAUGCCGCUCCUGGUUUUUUUGUUAUUUAAUUCCGCGCGUGGCAACAGCGUACAUUCGAUAGUGUAAUAGAGACAGCACCAACAAACGGGAAUGAGUGAUAAAAAAGGAAGAUACCAACAAAGUCCCCUUGUAUAGCUUGUAAAUUGUAAAUACAAAACCCACGUUCUUUGUAUAAAGGU
rnacentral:lncRNA from 1 species